rnacentral:lncRNA from 1 species
AAAUACAAGAAGCAAUAUUAUUUAGAUGGAAAAUUGUGGAAUUCUAUCAAGUAAGGCAUGAGCAAAUUUGGGUGCAAAUAAGAGGGGUUUUGACCUGAAUACUUAGGAUCUGGCCACCCUGAUUCUUCGGAUUCUUUUUGAGAUGGGGGUGGGAGUGUAUCUGACAGCUCAGCCUUGUAAAUCGUAGCGCCCCGAAGUUUGCAGAGGCAAAGCUCUGUUAUUGUGACUUGGAUCACAAAGAAGGCUGCGGAUCUUUUCCUGAUCUUACACUUGCAGCCUCUCACUGAGAAAUGGGAUCAUUUGCAUAAUUCUGCACCUACCCUCUGAGGUAGGCAUGUGAGAAGGUGCCAUUCCCAGGCUGUGCAGAGCUGGCACUACCCAGGGCUCUCUCUACUCCUGCUCUGAGAGUCAUUUGCAUAGUUCAUCAUCUUUUCCCUGAAAGCAAACAGGAGACAGUUCCAGGCCUAGAAGGGCUGCUCUAGCUCCAAAGACAAGCUGGGAAUGUCUGUUUGCAGAGCCUAAGGAGCCAGUUUUAACAGGACACAAUGAGUCAGUGACAGUGGGCAGCCCGGGGUUUCCUUUGUUACUCAUAUUCAGCGACUUCUCUUAAAGAUACUCUGUGUUUCUGGGCAGUUGUGUGACCCAUGUGGUGGUCAGCCUGCAGGAAAAUGUCAGAGUUGUGGAAGAGAGCAAAGGAGUGCCCGUGAGUGAGUGAGUGCUCUCAAGGUAGCUUCUGGCAGUACAGUACAAUAAUCAAGAGCCUACUGAACUCCCCAGGCUGUCAGAAGCUGAUGGC